rnacentral:rRNA from 1 species
CCUACGGGAGGCAGCAGUGAGGAAUAUUGGUCAAUGGGCGGAAGCCUGAACCAGCCAAGUAGCGUGCGGGAUGAAGGCCCUACGGGUCGUAAACCGCUUUUGCACGGGGAUAACACCCUCCACUUGUGGAGGUCUGCACGUACCGUGCGAAUAAGGGCCGGCAAAUUCCGUGCCAGCAGCCGCGGUAAUACGGAAGGCCCGAGCGUUAUCCGGUUUCAUGGGGCUUAAGGGGAGGGUGGGCGGGCGUUCAAGUCAGCUGUAAAAUCGCGCGGCUCAACCGCGCCCUGCAGUUGAAACUGGACGCCUUGAGUGCACAACAGGCAGGCGGAAUUCGUGGUGUAGCGGUGAAAUGCAUAGAUAUCACGAGGAACCCCGAUGGCGAAGGCAGCCUGCCGGGGUGCGACUGACGCUGAGGCUCGAAGGUGCGGGUAUCAAACAGGAUUAGAUACCCUUGUAGUC